rnacentral:rRNA from 1 species
GAUGAACGCUAGCGACAGGCUUAACACAUGCAAGUCGAGGGGCAGCGGGGAAGUGCUUGCACUUCCGCCGGCGACCGGCGUACGAGUGAGUAACACGUAUGGAACCUGCCCGCAGCAGGGGGAUAAUCGGAAGAAAUUCCGUCUAAUACCGCGUAACAAUCCAUUGGGGCAUCCCAUUUGGUUUAAAGGGUUACCGGCUGCGGAUGGCCAUGCGGCGCAUUAGCUAGUUGGCGGGGCAACGGCCCACCAAGGCGACGAUGCGUAGGGGUUCUGAGAGGAAGGUCCCCCACACUGGUACUGAGACACGGACCAGACUCCUACGGGAGGCAGCAGUGAGGAAUAUUGGUCAAUGGGGGAAACCCUGAUGCAGCCAUGCCGCGUGUGUGAAGAAGGCCUUCGGGUUGUAAAGCACUUUCAGCGAGGAGGAAAGGUUGGUAGCUAAUAACUGCCAGCUGUGACGUUACUCGCAGAAGAAGCACCGGCUAACUCCGUGCCAGCCGCCGCAGUAAGAC